GAAACCGUGUACGUACAAGCAGUAGGAGCACCUUCGUGGUGUGACUGCGUACCUUUUGUAUAAUGGGUCAGCGACUUAUAUUCAGUGGCAAGGUUAACCAUCUAGGGGAGCCGUAGGGAAACCGAGUCUUAACUGGGCGCCAUAGUCUCUGGAUAUAGACCCGAAACCGAGUGAUCUAGCCAUGGGCAGGUUGAAGGUUGAGUAACAUCAACUGGAGGACCGAACCGACUAAUGUUGAAAAAUUAGCGGAUGACUUGUGGCUAGGGGUGAAAGGCCAAUCAAACUCGGAGAUAGCUGGUUCUCCCCGAAAGCUAUUUAGGUAGCGCCUCGGACGAAUACUACUGGGGGUAGAGCACUGUUAAGGCUAGGGGGUCAUCCCGACUUACCAACCCUUUGCAAACUCCGAAUACCAGUAAGUACUAUCCGGGAGACACACGGCGGGUGCUAACGUCCGUCGUGGAGAGGGAAACAACCCAGACCGCCAGCUAAGGUCCCAAAUUACAGCUAAGUGGGAAACGAUGUGGGAAGGCUUAGACAGCUAGGAUGUUGGCUUAGAAGCAGCCAUCAUUUAAAGAAAGCGUAAUAGCUCACUAGUCGAGUCGGCCUGCGCGGAAGAUGUAACGGGGCUAAGUUGUAAACCGAAGCUGCGGCAAUGUUCUUUGAACAUUGGGUAGGGGAGCGUUCUGUAAGCCGUUGAAGGUGUGUUGUAAAGCAUGCUGGAGGUAUCAGAAGUGCGAAUGCUGACAUGAGUAACGACAAGGGGGGUGAAAAACCUCCCCGCCGGAAGACCAAGGGUUCCUGUCCAACGUUAAUCGGGGCAGGGUAAGUCGACCCCUAAGGCGAGGCUGAAAAGCGUAGUCGAUGGGAAACGGGUUAAUAUUCCCGUACUUCUUACAAUUGCGAUGGGGGGACGGAGAAGGCUAGGUGGGCCUGGCGACGGUUGUCCAGGUUCAAGUGCGUAGGCU
rnacentral:rRNA from 1 species